rnacentral:tRNA from 2 species
GCCCGGGUGAUGGAAUGGCAUACAUGGGAGACUUAAAAUCUCCUGCCCGUAAGGGCUUGCGGGUUCAAGUCCCGCUCCGGGCACCA